CAUAUCCUGGCUGUCUUCUUGUGGAGGACAGAACAUAGAGGUGCUCCUAUAGAGGACCGUGACCACCCAGAACACAGCAUUUCAGGACUGGAACAUGGCACAUAGGGCACUGGCUUUAUAGUUUCUGGGCAUGGCCUGCUGCAAUGCUAGGACUGUGGCAAAGUACUAUUGUCAGGUCUGUAGUUGUAGGAGAGGUACAGCUCUCAGUAUGCUCGCUGCCAUCUCCUGGUGGGCGCUGUCUUCCUGUGCAAUGCUGAACACGUCUCACUGAUUAGGUCUCUUGUACUUUGACUUACAGACCAGUUUCUAAAACCCACCUUUGGCCUUAGAUAAGAGAGGCUGAAGAUUGUUUAUUACCUAAUAUAACUGUGGGUCUCUCCAUGAAGAAAAAAAUCGAAAUUCAACCAAUUUUAUGAAAACUGUAGUUAUCGGUAAUCAAAGCAAGCCCCAAUCACUUAUAUUGACUUGGCGUUUAUCAGAGGGUCACUCACAGUCCAUACUUUAAUUGGUUUUAAAGUUAAAUGUAAUGCAAGAAACCUUUCUGUAUGCUGUUAUGUUAGGAAGGCUGCCACAAGAGGAGCGGUGCACUGCUGACAUCUAGUGGCCGCCUCUGUGUACUGGAGUACCUAGUGUUCUACAGUAAAUGGGAUUGUACCAGAUGUCCAUGGAUUAUUUUAUGUUUUCUAUGUGCAGAAUGUGUUUAGUUAUAUUUUAUGUACAUUGUAUAAUUGAUUUUCUAACUUUGUGCUUUUUUUUUCUUUUUUUUUUUUUCUUCAUCUAAACAGAAACAAACACCAAAUGGUCUUAUGAAACAUCCAUUCUUAAGUGGAGAAAACCCAUUUGCUACAGUCAAGCUGCGCCCAACCGUAACAAACGACCGAUCGGCACCAAUUUUUCGAUGAGCGGAAUCCAUUAAUUUAAUGGUGUUUUUUUUCUAUAUCUUCUGUUAUGUAAAACAAUUUUUCCCCCCCAUUUUGUUUCAAUUUUUGAAAUGAUUUUGGCUCAGACCUCCAGAAAGAAGUCGAAUUCUGCAAAUAACGAUCGGCUAUUCAGAAGCGCCACAUGUGAUUAGUGACUCUUGUAAUGAUUGCCAAUGUCUUUGAGCAGGAAUAAGUUAUUGUGGUAAAACAGGUUUAUGUACACGCAUUUUUCUCCAAAUAUGUUCUUCAUCGUCCACACUUGUCAUGACCUCACACCUUAAGUAAUAAAGAGCUCAUACAGGGA